CCCUUAGAUGUUCUGGGCCGCACGCGCGCUACACUGAUUCAUGCAACAAGUUUUGUCCUUGGCUGAUAGGCCUGGGUAAUCUUUGAACGUGAAUCGUGAUGGGGAUAGAUGAUUGCAAUUAUUCAUCUUCAACGAGGAAUUCCUAGUAAACGCAAGUCAUCAGCUUGCAUUGAUUACGUCCCUGCCCUUUGUACACACCGCCCGUCGCACCUACCGAUUGAGUGAUCCGGUGAAUAAUUCGGACUGCAGCAGUGUUCAGUUCCUGAACGUUGCAGCGGAAAGUUUAGUGAACCUUAUCACUUAGAGGAAGGAGAAGUCGUAACA
rnacentral:rRNA from 1 species